CCUACGGGAGGCAGCAGUAGGGAAUUUUCGGCAAUGGGGGAAACCCUGACCGAGCAACGCCGCGUGAGCGAAGAAGGCCUUCGGGUCGUAAAGCUCUGUUGUAAAGGAAGAACGGCGCAUACAGGAAAUGGUAUGCGAGUGACGGUACUUUACCAGAAAGCCACGGCUAACUACGUGCCAGCAGCCGCGGUAAUACGUAGGUGGCGAGCGUUAUCCGGAAUCAUUGGGCGUAAAGAGGGAGCAGGCGGCCGCAAGGGUCUGUGGUGAAAGACCGAAGCUAAACUUCGGUAAGCCAUGGAAACCGGGCGGCUAGAGUGCGGAAGAGGAUCGUGGAAUUCCAUGUGUAGCGGUGAAAUGCGUAGAUAUAUGGAGGAACACCAGUGGCGAAGGCGACGGUCUGGGCCGCAACUGACGCUCAUUCCCG
rnacentral:rRNA from 1 species